rnacentral:piRNA from 1 species
UGCUGGACAUCGAGAGUGGCAAC